AUUGAACGCUGGCGGCAGGCCUAACACAUGCAAGUCGAACGAGUGGCGGACGGGUGAGUAAUGUAUGGGAAACUGCCCGAUGGAGGGGGAUAACUACUGGAAACGGUAGCUAAUACCGCAUACCAUCAGAUGUGCCCAGAUGGGAUUAGCUUGUGGGGGGGGUAACGGCUCACAAAGGCGACUAUCCAUAGCUGGUCUGAGAUGAUGACCAGCCACACUGGAACGGGGAACCGGUCCAGACUCCUACGGGAGGCAGCAGUGGGGAAUAUUGCACAAUGGGCGCAAGCCUGAUGCAGCCAUGCCGCGUGUAUGAAGAAGGCCUUCGGGUUGUAAAGUACUUUCAGCGGGGAGGCGUUACCCGCAGAAGAAGCACCGGCUAACUCCGUGCCAGCAGCCGCGGUAAUUC
rnacentral:rRNA from 1 species